CACAGGCAAUCCGUUAUGUUAAAGAAUCACACAGAUAGCAGUGAAAGAAAAGUGAUAAAACCUGACAGCACAUUAUCAAUGAUCUCAUAGGCAAAUAGGCUUAAAAUAGUUACGUAAAUAAAAUAAGAAAUCACAUGCAGUUACCAGACAGACAAAGAUCUCUAAGCCUUGUGUUCUCCUAAGCUUGUUUGUCCAUGGAGAUCUGCACAUGAUUGGUCAACUAGACACUUGAUGGAGAUCUGCACAUGAUUGGUCAACUAGACACUUGAUGGCCAAUUGAGUCGCAGUCUGAGAAAACCAGGCCUGAUGCAUGUGCUGAUAAUCCGCACAGGCUCAUCUGAGACAACGCGUUGUCUUACCUGAUUAGCCUGUGCAGACUGCUAAUCCAUUUCGCACAUGCAUUUAGCCCAGUUUUACCAGAAUGAGACUCAAAUAUCUACCGGUACUGGUCAAUACAGGUUUGAGUACUUAUAUAAAGUUCAACUCAAAUAUCUACCGGUACUGGUCAAUACAGGUUUGAGUGCUUCAUAAAGUUCAACUCAUAUAUCUACCGGAACUGGUCAAUACAGGUUUGAGUGCUUAUAUAAAGUUCAACUCAAAUAUCUACAAGAACUGGUCAAUACAGGUUUGAGUGCUUAUAUAAAGUUCAACUCAAAUAUCUACCGGAACUGGUCAAUACAGGUUUGAGUGCUUAUAUAAAGUUCAACUAAAAUAUCUACCAGAACUGGGAAAUACAGGUUUGAGUGCUUAUAUAAAGUUCAACUCAAAUAUCUACCGGAACUGGUCAAUACAGGUUUGAGUGCUUAUAUAAAGUUCAACUCAAAUAUCUAUCGGUACUGGUCAAUACAGGUGAGUAAAGUAAAGUUCAACUCAUUAGUCUGUAUGUUCUCUUCCUUGACUCAAAAACUAAACCUGUUGUGUGUUUUUUUUGGCAAUUACCACAAAUGUACAAACAAAUAUUCAUAAAUAACAGCAUUUUCAGACAUAAAUGUAUCAUCUUGCACUUUCCUUCCAUAAAUUGUCUUGAUAAGUUCUAGACUAAAACAGAUAAAUCGAAAUAUGACAGGCUUUGUGGAUGUAUGCCAAGUCAAAUUAAAUUUCAAUUAAUAUCAUAUGACAAUCUGUAUACAUUUAUAUCAUAAAAUUAUAAUUAUGGAGUAAUGUAAACAUAAAUUCAUAUAGUGCUGUCGGGAGUCUUAACAGAGCAAUGAACGUGGGGUCUGGAUUUCUCAUAUGUUAUUGCUUAGCCCAUAUUCAUAAAGAACUUUAGAGAAAACUUCAAUCAAAUUUAUUUAAAUCCAUAAAAUUCCUUUAGUCUCUGGCUAGUUUAUAUACAUGUUAUUUUACCUUAAAAUGUUUCAAGUAAACCUUGUUAAAAUGAUUAUCGUCUUCUGUUUGUAAGCAGAUAUGAUGCUGGAUUUCACAUUGAAAACAUGACCUGAAAUCUCA